rnacentral:rRNA from 1 species
GAUGAACGCUGGCGGCGUGCUUAACACAUGCAAGUCGAACGGGAAUUAUUUUAUUGAAACCUCGGUCGAUUUAAUUUAAUUCUAGUGGCGGACGGGUGAGUAACGCGUGGGUAACCUGCCUUAUACAGGGGGAUAACAGUCAGAAAUGGCUGCUAAUACCGCAUAAGCGCACAGAGCUGCAUGGCUCAGUGUGAAAAACUCCGGUGGUAUAAGAUGGACCCGCGUUGGAUUAGCUGGUUGGUGGGGUAACGGCCCACCAAGGCGACGAUCCAUAGCCGGCCUGAGAGGGUGAACGGCCACAUUGGGACUGAGACACGGCCCAGACUCCUACGGGAGGCAGCAGUGGGGAAUAUUGCACAAUGGGGGAAACCCUGAUGCAGCGACGCCGCGUGAAGGAAGAAGUAUCUCGGUAUGUAAACUUCUAUCAGCAGGGAAGAUAGUGACGGUACCUGACGAAGAAGCCCCGGCUAACUACGUG